CUGAACUUGAGUCUGUGAACUAAUGCUGUGUUCGAGACAACUGGAACAGCAAACAAAGUUGAGUAUCCGACCUCUCAACUUGGGACAGAUCGAUCAGCACCAACCUCAACGAGAUGCAUCAUUUGACAUUGCAGACAAGAUCCUUUCUCUUUUUAAUGCAGCACUUAAGGAUGAACCACCCUGAUCUACUAAGAUGCACAGAUUCAACUCUGGCCCAGCAUCAUCCCCACACCUCAUCUGCCAUCAGUUUAAUUUAAUGUCUGUCAAUUGCAAAUGCUAUUUAUUUCAGUUAUAUUACAACUUAAUGCUAACUUUAAUUGAGACUAGUAUUGUGUAAAGCUGGGGUUUCCAAACUUUUCAUUUCAAAACCUAUUAGACAAGUGUAAUCUAUUCUAGACCCACAAAAAUAUUUUUACAUAUACAUUUUUUUAAUGGGGUAAAACACAUUUGUUCUCUUUCAGUGGAGUCAUUUUAUUUUCAUAAUAUUUCAUAAUGUAAAGCAGUGGUUCUUAACGUUAUUCCUCGAGGCCCAUUGCUCUGCACAUUUUGUAUGUCUCUUUUAUCUGACAGACUCAGUUCAGUUCAUUGAGAUCUCUUCUAAUGAGCUGAUGAUUUGAAUCAGGUGUGUUAAAUAAGGGAGACAUACAAAAUGUGCAGGGCAGUGGGCCUCGAGGAAUAACAUUAAGAACCACUGAUGUAAAGUAAAUACAAGUUUAUUUGCAAUACCAAAUAUUUUAUGGUAUAUUCUUUCAAAACCAUUGUCAUUGUUAAUUAUUAAUUUGGCCAAACUGUUGUUGCAUCAUUAAGGUGUGCAACACACCUUAACCUACUGUGUGACCGACAAGUGGGUCCUCCUGACCCACAGUUUAAAAUCCCCUGGUGUACUGAAUGUAUUGUAAUUAAAGUCGCAUCUAAGUCUUG